UUCUGCGUUUCCAUCCAGAUUCUCGUGUAUACCAUGACGGUCCGGAUUGGGGUAUUGUUUAUUUCUGUAUUCUUUAAAUUCAACACGGUUAUGUCAUUUUUUUUCUACAUUUUAUUUAUCUUACUCAUUAUUCUUUCUUUAUUUUUCAUAUUUUGUCAUCCCAAUAUAUUUUACUUACUGAUAUUUAGUUACAUUACGACGUUU
rnacentral:lncRNA from 1 species